rnacentral:rRNA from 1 species
UGGGUGACCUGCCCCCAACCCUGGGAUAAGCCCGGGAAACUGGGUCUAAUACCGGAUAUGACUACAUGUCGCAUGGUGUGUGGUGGAAAGUUUUUCGGUUGGGGAUGGGCCCGCGGCCUAUCAGCUUGUUGGUGAGGUAAUAGCUCACCAAGGCGAUGACGGGUAGCCGGCCUGAGAGGGUGACCGGCCACACUGGGACUGAGACACGGCCCAGACUCCUACGGGAG